AUCAAUUGUUACUGCCUUAAUUGAAUAUGAUUUUAUUUUAAGAUGUCAGUGGAAAGUAGAAGAAAAAAGCAAUACAAUUUCUAUAGAAGAGUCUGAAAAAUAAAUUCACUUUUUAUCUUACAGCUUUCUUAGCUACAGAGCAAAGAGUUGGAGAUAUAAUUCAUAUAAUGAGAUGAAUGAGAUUAAGAAUAUUUCCUUGAUAAAUGUCACAUGUUAUAAAGAAAUGGGAUUAAGAUGUGCAUUAUUUCCACACCAACUCUAUCACAUUUUUAGAUUUAUUCAUUUUAUUUAUUUUUGGCUGCGUUGGGUCUUUGUUGCUGUGCGCAGGCUUUCUCUCUAGUUGUAGAGAGCCGGGGCUACUCUGCCUUGCGUGGGCUUCUCAUUGCCGUGGCUUCUCUUGUUGUGGAGCAUAGGCUCUAGGCAUGCAGGCUUCAGUAGUUGUGGCACGCAGGUUCACUAGUUGUGGCACACGGGCUUAGUUGCUCCGUGGCAUGUGGGAUCUUCCCGGACCAGGGUUCGAACCCGUAUCUCCUACAUUGGCAGGCAGAUUCUUAACACUGUGCCACCAGGGAAACCACAUUCUUAGCCAAAGUUCCCUUAAGUUCUAGAUCCAGUGACUUAAUUCAAAUUCUUCACUUUGUAUCCUCCACACUUCCUGCAGCUGUUAAUAAUAUCCUUCUAUAUCAAACCUAGAGUAUUCAGUAAUGUGGCCUGGUAUUCUGUACUAUUUUUCCAAGGUCUAGCUAGAGUGGAGGCACACUUUUUUUAAAUUACAGACACAAAAACAAUGCCAGCUAUUGAAUGUGUGUUCAAGAUAUGUCAACCGAAUCAAGGUAAUAUGUAUUAUUGCAGCAUAACACACUAGGACAUACACCGUGGUAUGAACUGAAGAACUGCAGAUGAUACUGAACAGUGGUCUUAACCCUCAAUGAUUCUGGAGCUUACAUUGAGAUUACCUUGAGGAUUCUCAUUUGGCAUCAUUCCAUGGG